UACAGAGGUCCCAAGCGUUGUUCGGAUUCACUGGGCGUAAAGCGUGCGCAGGCGGUUAUGUAAGACAGGUGUGAAAUCCCCGGGCUUAACCUGGGAACUGCAUUUGUGACUGCAUAGCUAGAGUACGGUAGAGGGGGAUGGAAUUCCGCGUGUAGCAGUGAAAUGCGUAGAUAUGCGGAGGAACACCGAUGGCGAAGGCAAUCCCCUGGACCUGUACUGACGCUCAUGCACGAAAGCUAGGGUAGCGAACGGG
rnacentral:rRNA from 1 species